AUUGAACGCUGGCGGCAGGCUUAACACAUGCAAGUCGAACGAGUGGCGGACGGGUGAGUAAUGUCUGGGAAUCUGGCUUAUGGAGGGGGAUAACUACUGGAAACUGUAGCUAAUACCGCGUACCAUCGGAUGUGCCCAAAUGGGAUUAGGUAGUGGGUGAGGUAACGGCUCACCAAGCCGACGAUCCCUAGCUGGUCUGAGAGGAUGACCAGCCACACUGGGACUGAGACACGGCCCAGACUCCUACGGGAGGCAGCAGUGGGGAAUAUUGCGCAAUGGGGGCAACCCUGAUGCAGCCAUGCCGCGUGAAUGAAGAAGGCCUUCGGGUUGUAAAGUACUUUCGGUAGCGAGGCGUUAACUACAGAAGAAGCACCGGCUAACUCCGUGCCAGCAGCCGCGGUAAUUC
rnacentral:rRNA from 1 species